UAUAAAUAAAGCUGACUACAAAGCCUCGGGACGGAGCCACCAGAUCCUGACGUCGUGACUACCUGCACUGCAACCACCGUUUCUAGCGAAGCGAGGAAAAGCCCAGAGUCGUACAUUCGCCUACUGGCCAGUGUCUUAUACAGGUCCACGACGCCAGGUUCUCGGUGACGCCGGGAAAAAGAACACAGCGCAACAUUGAAGUCUCUUCCAGGUUGAAACCAGGAGAUUGGAUCCUGAUAAAAGUGCUCCAGAGGAAAAACUGGAGCUCCCCGAGGUGGGAAGGACCCUACCAAGUCCUCCUGGCCACACCAACAGCCUGCAAAAUUGCUGAACGACCUUCCUGGAUUCAUCAGAGCCACUGUAAAAAAGUGAGUGACAGCCCAUAAACACUGAGACGCCAGCACCCCUGCCUGUUAGUGAUCUGGGAGGUG
ensembl:lncRNA